GGGCCCGUGGCCAAGCCAGGAUAUGGCGGCGGCCUUCGGAGCCGCAGGUCCCGGGUUCGAAUCCCGGCGGGCCCGCCA
rnacentral:tRNA from 2 species